UGUUUCAUAUUUCAGGGCUGAUAGAUUGUGAUCUUUUGAACAUUUUUACCCCAUGUCAGAUUUGCUGUAAAUGCUUUAGUUUCUGAGAUAUAAGCAGGAUCUGCAUUUGACCCCUAUGUUCUAUAUUUAGCCAUGGCGGACAUGUUGUUGAUGGAUAAAAAAAUCGGAUAGAAUUCAUAAACAAGAUUCCUAAAGGAACAUUCAUUUAAGAUUAAAAAGUAUAAGGCACAAUAGUUUCAGAGGAGAAAAGUUUUAUAUGUUAGCAAACUGGAUGAACAAAGUGUGUCCAAUUGUCUUUAAAGGGCAAUAACUCAUUACGGGGUCAAUUGACAAUUUUG
rnacentral:lncRNA from 1 species